CAGCAGCCGCGGGAAUACGAAGGGUGCAAGCGUUAAUCGGAAUUACUGGGCGUAAAGCGUGCGUAGGCGGUGAGUUAAGUCUGCUGUGAAAUCCCCGGGCUCAACCUGGGAAUGGCAGUGGAUACUGGCUCGCUAGAGUGUGUCAGAGGAUGGUGGAAUUCCCGGUGUAGCGGCGAAAUGCGUAGAGAUCGGGAGGAACAUCAGUGGCGAAGGCGGCCAUCUGGGACAACACUGACGCUGAGGCACGAAAGCGUGGGGAGCAAACAGGAUUAGAUACCCGUGUAGUCCCUGUCUCUUAUAC
rnacentral:rRNA from 1 species